UAAUACGGAGGGUGCAAGCGUUAAUCGGAAUUACUGGGCGUAAAGCGCGCGUAGGCGGUUAUUUAAGUCAGAUGUGAAAUCCCCGGGCUUAACCUGGGAAUUGCAUUUGAGACUGGAUGGCUAGAGUGUGGUAGAGGUGAGUGGAAUUUCAGGUGUAGCGGUGAAAUGCGUAGAUAUCUGAAGGAACAUCAGUGGCGAAGGCGACUCACUGGGCCAUUACUGACGCUGAGGUGCGAAAGCGUGGGUAGCAAACAGG
rnacentral:rRNA from 1 species